AGGGUGUACAUAUUAGUGAUUUAAUACCAACAGAAGACUUUUGCAAGAACUUCAUUAUCAAUAUACGUUUUAUAAAAUACUACUUCAUCCAUUUCAUUUUAAUUGUCGUUUAGAUUUGAGCACACAGAUUAAUAAAAUAUUUAAUUUUGCAUAUUUUUAAAAUAAAUAUAUCAUUACCAAUACAUCUAACCACAUUUUAACCAAUAAUAGAUUGAAAU
rnacentral:lncRNA from 1 species